rnacentral:rRNA from 1 species
CCCUUAGAUGUCCUGGGCCGCACGCGCGCUACACUGACGAAUGCAACGAGCUUAUAACCUUGGCCGAAAGGUCUGGGUAAUCUCCAAAUUUCGUCGUGAUGGGGAUAGAUUAUUGCAAUUAUUAAUCUUCAACGAGGAAUGCCUAGUAAGCGCAAGUCAUCAGCUUGCGUUGAUUACGUCCCUGCCCUUUGUACACACCGCCCGUCGCUCCUACCGAUUGAAUGGUCCGGUGAAGCGCUCGGACCGCGGCCUCUUGACGGUUUUCCGUCGAUUGGCUGUGGGAAGUUCGUUAAACCUUAUCAUUUAGAGGAAGGAGAAGUCGUAACA